AUAGUGGGGGAUAGCCUUUCGAAAGGAAGAUUAAUACCGCAUAAGAUUGUAGUAUCGCAUGAUAUAGCAAUUAAAAGGAGCAAUUCGCUAUAAGAUGGACCCGCGUCGCAUUAGCUAGUUGGUGAGGUAAUGGCUCACCAAGGCGACGAUGCGUAGCCGACCUGAGAGGGUGAACGGCCACAUUGGGACUGAGACACGGCCCAGACUCCUACGGGAGCAGCAUG
rnacentral:rRNA from 1 species